AAUACCUCAACACCUCUUGACGAAUCAAGGAGAGAGGAGAAGCUAUGAUCAAAUGUGAGAGGAGAGCCUGUAGCAUGGAGAGCUAUAACACACAGACCUGCAACAUAAAGAGCUGUGCCAUUUCUAAAGAAUCUUCUAGAGAGAAGAGUCUGCCACGUUUCUUGGGGAUGAGACAUAGGGCCAAGCGGGGAAGCCACAGACUCCUUCUGCCACCACUACUGCAGCAUCAUUACCCAGGAGCUGACUCUGUGGAAAACUAUAAAGGCAAGUACUGUUGUUUGUUUUUUCCCUAGAUGUUUUUCCUGUGUGUGACACUCUAUCCAUGGAUGGUGCUAGGGCAUGUCUUUGGAGUUUUCUUCCAGUAGUAAUGAUGGAUUGACAUUGAAUGGGCCUAAUUUCCUUUAUGUUUGCCAUCCUGCACUUGUUUGCCUCCAGGUCAGCAUUAGUGGUUCUGGUAUUGCAUUGGAACAGAGAAAAAUUAACUGUUCAAUGUGGAGAUUUCACUCAGCUGGUCCCAAGUAAAAUGGAAGUAUAGUUGCUCUUCCUCCAACCAUCCUUCCUAAUCCUUCCAUAAACCACAGGCACUCCUGGGCUCUAAGAUGUCUAAGGAAGUUGUUUGCACUUAAUCCUGCCCUUUCUCUAUAGGCAGGACUAGGAAUCUAAAUCCUACCAUCUCCCAGUGAUGUGUAUUUUGAAAACAGAGUCUAGGAAUUACAAGCUCCGUUCAAGUAAGGGAUUCUGUGUUUUUAAUAUUUCCUAGGUGACUGUGUGCUUCAGCUACACAUUGUACUACUAAAGGUGGUGACAUAUUAAAUAUUUUGCUACAGUUCAUCUUGCUGUAUGCUUUACCUUUAAAAGUUCAUAAUUCUUUGAUUCAGUUGUUUAACUUUUAUGUUUUCAGACAACCUAGUCAUCAGAGGGAUCUUAUAUUUUUGAAUCCCUUGUUUAAACAGUAUUUAGUCAGCUGAGGGUUCAAUGAACAGAUUUUACAGGAGCCUUAGGUCAAAUUCCUAGGAAACAAUAGACACAUUAUCAAAGAUUCAACUUCUCAUUUCUGGUGGAAAGUGUUAAUUGUCCUUCCUAAAAACACUGGAUUGCUGUAAUAAGCCAGUCAUAAUAUUUUCUUAAUAUACACACUUUGUUCACUCGUCUACUUCAGAGGAUGAAGCGUCUUGAUUGCAUGAUUAAGAAAUUUAUGUUCUUAUUUUCUCCCUGGUACAUAUUGCAGUUUGUAUAUUUAAUGUUGUUUAUAGAAAGAAAGAGCUCUUUUCCUCUAAUUGGAAAAUUAAAGCAGAAAACCGUAUAAUACUCAAUUAAAACAUGACAUGCUAUUAUAGGCCUAACGGUAUAGAAAUGCCACAAUAAUUAAAUCUAUAGCUGUCCAGCAUUUGAUUUUGUAAUUUUACCUACACUAUUUGUUAUAAUGAUAGCAUUAUAACUCCAAUUCUAAAUGAUUAAAGUAUAAUUCAUCUUUUAUGUCUUAGUUGGCAUAUUAGCUAAUGUUUCUGUUGCCAGUAAACCAUUUAAAUUAGAUAAAGACAAAAUGAAGAUAACAUGUUUAACAAAUAAUUUAUUUUUAAAUUAAUUAAUUAAUUAAUUAAUAUAAAUACAACUGUAGCAGAUCAGUUCACAGUAGUAAGAUCAACCUAGAUAUCUGCCAACUGAUGACUGGAUAAAGAAAAUGUGGUCUAUAUACAUGAUGGAUAAGUACACAACCACAACAAACAAAACCCUGUCUUUUGCAAUAGAAUGUAUACAACUGGAGAUCAUAUGCUUAAUGAAAUAAACCAGAUCCAAAAGACA
rnacentral:lncRNA from 1 species